GCCAGUGGCGGGGUGCUUAUACAUGCAGUCGAACGAUGAAGCCCAGCUUGCUGGGUGGAUUAGUGGCGAACGGGUGAGUAACACGUGAGUAACCUGCCCUUAACUCUGGGAUAAGCCUGGGAAACUGGGUCUAAUACCGGAUAGGAGCGUCCACCGCAUGGUGGGUGUUGGAAAGAUUUAUCGGUUUUGGAUGGACUCGCGGCCUAUCAGCUUGUUGGUGAGGUAAUGGCUCACCAAGGCGACGACGGGUAGCCGGCCUGAGAGGGUGACCGGCCACACUGGGACUGAGACACGGCCCAGACUCCUACGGGAGGCAGCAGUGGGGAAUAUUGCACAAUGGGCGCAAGCCUGAUGCAGCGACGCCGCGUGAGGGAUGACGGCCUUCGGGUUGUAAACCUCUUUCAGUAGGGAAGAAGCGAAAGUGACGGUACCUGCAGAAGAAGCACCGGCUAACUACGUGCCAGCAGCCGCGGUAAUACGUAGGGUGCGAGCGUUAUCCGGAAUUAUUGGGCGUAAAGAGCUCGUAGGCGGUUUGUCGCGUCUGUCGUGAAAGUCCGGGGCUUAACCCCGGAUCUGCGGUGGGUACGGGCAGACUAGAGUGCAGUAGGGGAGACUGGAAUUCCUGGUGUAGCGGUGGAAUGCGCAGAUAUCAGGAGGAACACCGAUGGCGAAGGCAGGUCUCUGGGCUGUAACUGACGCUGAGGAGCGAAAGCAUGGGGAGCGAACAGGAUUAGAUACCCUGGUAGUCCAUGCCGUAAACGUUGGGCACUAGGUGUGGGGACCAUUCCACGGUUUCCGCG
rnacentral:rRNA from 1 species